rnacentral:rRNA from 1 species
UACGGAAGGCGCAGUGGGGAAUAUUGCACAAUGGGCGCAAGCCUGAUGCAGCCAUGCCGCGUGUAUGAAGAAGGCCUUCGGGUUGUAAAGUACUUUCAGUCGUGAGGAAGGUGUUAAGGUUAAUAACCUUAGCAAUUGACGUUAGCGACAGAAGAAGCACCGGCUAACUCCGUGCCAGCAGCCGCGGUAAUACGGAGGGUGCGAGCGUUAAUCGGAAUUACUGGGCGUAAAGGGCACGCAGGCGGUUAAUUAAGUUGGAUGUGAAAUCCCCGGGCUUAACCUGGGAAUGGCAUUCAAGACUGGUUAGCUAGAGUCUUGUAGAGGGGGUUAGAAUUCCAUGUGUAGCGGUGAAAUGCGUAGAGAUGUGGAGGAAUACCGGUGGCGAAGGCGGCCCCUGGACAAAGACUGACGCUCAUGUGCGAAAGCGUGGGGAGCAAACAGGGAUUAGAUACC